ACUCCUACGGGAGGCAGCAGUGGGGAAUUUUGGACAAUGGGCGAAAGCCUGAUCCAGCCAUGCCGCGUGCAGGAUGAAGGCCUCGGUUGUAACUGCUUUGUACGGAACGAAAAGGUUUAGGUCCUAAUAAGCUGAGCUCAUGACGGUACCGUAAGAAUAAGCACCGGCUAACUACGUGCCAGCAGCCGCGGUAAUACGUAGGGUGCGAGCGUUAAUCGGAAUUACUGGGCGUAAAGCGUGCGCAGGCGGUUAUGUAAGACAGAUGUGAAAUCCCCGGGGCUCAACCUGGGAACUGCAUUAGUGACUGCAUAGCUGGAGUACGGCAGAGGGGGAUGGAAUUCCGCGUGUAGCAGUGAAAUGCGUAGAUAUGCGGAGGAACACCGAUGGCGAAGGCAAUCCCCUGGGCCUGUACUGACGCUCAUGCACGAAAGCGUGGGGAGCAAACA
rnacentral:rRNA from 1 species